AUUGAACGCUGGCGGAAUGCUUUACACAUGCAAGUCGAACGGCAGCACGGAGAGCUUGCUCUCUGGUGGCGAGUGGCGAACGGGUGAGUAAUAUAUCGGAACGUGUCCAAUAAUGGGGGAUAACGAGUCGAAAGAUUCGCUAAUACCGCAUACGCCCUACGGGGGAAAGCAGGGGAUCGUAAGACCUUGCGUUAAUGGAGCGGCCGAUAUCUGAUUAGCUUGUUGGUGAGGUAAAGGCUCACCAAGGCGACGAUCAGUAGCUGGUUUGAGAGAACGACCAGCCACACUGGAACUGAGACACGGUCCAGACUCCUACGGGAGGCAGCAGUGGGGAAUUUUGGACAAUGGGGGCAACCCUGAUCCAGCCAUUCCGCGUGAGUGAAGAAGGCCUUCGGGUUGUAAAGCUCUUUCGCGAGGGAAGAAAACUUAUGAUCGAAUAAAUCAUGAGGUUGACGGUACCUUGAUAAGAAGCACCGGCUAACUACGUGCCAGCAGCCGCGGUAAUACGUAGGGUGCGAGCGUUAAUCGGAAUUACUGGGCGUAAAGCGUGCGCAGGCGGUUUUGUAAGUCGGAUGUGAAAUCCCCGGGCUCAACCUGGGAACUGCGUUCGAAACUGCAAGGCUAGAGUGUGUCAGAGGGGGGUAGAAUUCCACGUGUAGCAGUGAAAUGCGUAGAGAUGUGGAGGAAUACCAAUGGCGGAAGGCAGCCCCC
rnacentral:rRNA from 1 species